GCAGUGCCCAAACAAGUGAUGAACCAGAAUAAUGGCACUGAGGAUCAAGGCAAUUCACAACAAUAGAAUGCAUCCUAUUUUCAAAGAACUGACCAGAAAAAUUCUUCUACUCCUAAUCAAUCAUCUUGUUUACUUUGGCAAGUUGGGAAUGAGAAGAAAAUAUCUGCAAGGAUGAAGACUUUCAACAACAGAGAGAUGGUGAAGUACCAGAUAUAGAUCAUCAACUAAAGAUAAAAAUCAGGGUAGGCAGCAGUUUCGUAUUCCUCUUGAUAGUGCUUAAUAA